rnacentral:lncRNA from 1 species
UCGCAUUGUUCCUCAUCGAGCGGCCGCCAGUUCACAGUUUAUAGUACUGAACCAAACUCCGGGGAUCAUCGGGAGUAAGCUCUAAUGCUCAAUUUCGGCUUACAAUGGUAAAAUCCUCAAUUCCUGUAAUUAGCAAAUAUCGGUAGAUUAAUAAAAAUGUGAAUCUCCCUCUCUUUCUUUCUCUCCAUAAACACAAGCAAGUCACGGACUGAAUUCCAUAGGUGUUUUGUUUUCCAUUUCCGAUCACUGUGGUUUAGAAAUAAGAAGACGCACUGUAGCACUGUGGUUGGGACCGCAAUGCGUCUCUAUCACCGGGACACAAAGACGGAAUUGGCGAUUAUAUAUUUAAGCGCUCGACGAUUUGAAAAGAAGCAGGUGAUUGUGUAAUUAAUUAGUAACCCUAAUCGGAUGAUUAGGUAAUCUGAUUUGAACUGAUCUGAUCAGAUCAAUAAUGGUGAUGGC